AUUUUGUAGUUCAAUUUAACGGUGAGCCGGAAGUAUUCCACGAAGUCAUUUAUGGUGAUGGAAACGAUGACGCUCAAUCACUGAGAAAAAGAUUAGAGGAACUGAUGGAAAUAGUCAAGGAACAUCGUGAUUAUGAUAAACGUCCGCCAAAAGAAACACUUCUUGAGGUG